GACGAACGCUGGCGGCGUGCUUAACACAUGCAAGUCGAACGGAAAGGCCCUGCUUUUGUGGGGUGCUCGAGUGGCGAACGGGUGAGUAACACGUGAGUAACCUGCCCUUGACUUUGGGAUAACUUCAGGAAACUGGGGCUAAUACCGGAUAGGAGCUCCUGCUGCAUGGUGGGGGUUGGAAAGUUUCGGCGGUUGGGGAUGGACUCGCGGCUUAUCAGCUUGUUGGUGGGGUAGUGGAUUACCAAGGCUUUGACGGGUAGCCGGCCUGAGAGGGUGACCGGCCAAAUUGGGACGGAGAUGCGGCACAGACUACUACGGGAGGCAGGAGAGGGGUAUAGAGCAUAAGGGGAUGAAGCAUGAUGCAGCAAAGCCGCGUGCGGGAUGACGGCAUUGGGGUUGGAUACCGAUUUCGCCUGUGACGAAGCGUGAGUGACGGUAAUGGGUAAAGAAGCACCGGCUAACUACGUG
rnacentral:rRNA from 1 species